rnacentral:rRNA from 1 species
CCUACGGGAGGCAGCAGUGAGGAAUAUUGGUCAAUGGACGAGAGCCUGAACCAGCCAAGCCGCGUGAAGGAUGACUGCUCUAUGGGUUGUAAACUCCUUUUAUAUGGGAAUAAAAUGUUCCACGUGUGGGAUUUUGUAUGUACCAUACGAAUAAGGAUCGGCUAACUCCGUGCCAGCAGCCGCGGUAAUACGGAGGGUCCGAGCGUUAUCCGGAUUUAUUGGGUGUAAAGGGAGCGUAGGUGGAUUGUUAAGUCAGUUGUGAAAGUGUGCGGCUCAACCGUAAGAUUGCAGUUGAAACUGGCAGUCUUGAGUACAGUAGAGGGAAGCGGAAUUCGUGGUGUAGCGGUGAAAUGCUUAGAUAUCACGAAGAACACCAGUUGCGAAGGCAGCUCACUGGACUGCAACUGACGCUGAGGCUCGAAAGUGUGGGUAGCAAACAGGAUUAGAUACCCCUGUAGUC